CCCCGCGUAGCUCAACGGCAGAGCGCUCGGCUGUAGCCCGAGAGGUUCCUGGUUCAAAUCCGGGCGCGGGGA
rnacentral:tRNA from 1 species